rnacentral:rRNA from 1 species
AACGAACGCUGGCGGCAUGCCUAACACAUGCAAGUCGAACGAGACCUUCGGGUCUAGUGGCGCACGGGUGCGUAACGCGUGGGAACCUGCCCUUAGGUUCGGAAUAACUCCCCGAAAGGGGUGCUAAUACCGGAUAAUGUCUUCGGACCAAAGAUUUAUCGCCUUUGGAUGGGCCCGCGUUGGAUUAGCUAGUUGGUAGGGUAAAAGCCUACCAAGGCGACGAUCCAUAGCUGGUCUGAGAGGAUGAUCAGCCACACUGGGACUGAGACACGGCCCAGACUCCUACGGGAGGCAGCAGUGGGUGAUAUUGGAAAGUGGGCGGAGGCCUGAACCAGCAAUGCCGCGUGAGUGAUGAAGGCCUGAGGGUUGUAAAGCUCUUUUACCCGGGAUGAUAAUGACAGUACCGGGAGAAUAAGCUCCGGCUAACUCCGUG